rnacentral:rRNA from 1 species
GGUUAAGUGACUAAGCGUACACGGUGGAUGCCUUGGCAGUCAGAGGCGAUGAAAGACGUAGUAACUUGCGAUAAGCCCAGAUUAGGUAGUAACAACCAUUUGAGUCUGGGAUUUCUGAAUGGGGAAACCCACGUGCAUAAGCACGUAUCCUUACCUGAAUACAUAGGGUAAGGAGGCGAACCGGGGGAACUGAAACAUCUAAGUACCCCGAGGAAAAGAAAUCAACCGAGAUUCCGAAAGUAGCGGCGAGCGAAAUUGGACUAGCCCUUAAGCUUUACACGCGUUAGACGAACGGUCUGGAAAGUCCGACGAUACAGGGUGAUAGUCCCGUAGUUGACGACGUGUGUUCAGUGAAAUCGAGUAGGGCGGGACACGUGAUAUCCUGUCUGAAUAUGGGGGGACCAUCCUCCAAGGCUAAAUACUACUGACUGACCGAUAGUGAACCAGUACCGUGAGGGAAAGGCGAAAAGAACCCCUGUGAGGGGAGUGAAAUAGAACCUGAAACCGUGUACGUACAAGCAGUAGGAGCACCUUCGUGGUGUGACUGCGUACCUUUUGUAUAAUGGGUCAGCGACUUAUAUUCAGUGGCAAGGUUAACCAUCUAGGGGAGCCGUAGGGAAACCGAGUCUUAACUGGGCGUUCAGUCUCUGGAUAUAGACCCGAAACCAGGUGAUCUAGCCAUGGGCAGGUUGAAGGUUGAGUAACAUCAACUGGAGGACCGAACCGACUAAUGUUGAAAAAUUAGCGGAUGACUUGUGGCUAGGGGUGAAAGGCCAAUCAAACCUGGAGAUAGCUGGUUCUCCCCGAAAGCUAUUUAGGUAGCGCCUCGGACGAAUACUACUGGGGGUAGAGCACUGUUAAGGCUAGGGGGUCAUCCCGACUUACCAACCCUUUGCAAACUCCGAAUACCAGUAAGUACUAUCCGGGAGACACACGGCGGGUGCUAACGUCCGUCGUGGAGAGGGAAACAACCCAGACCGCCAGCUAAGGUCCCAAAUUACUACUAAGUGGGAAACGAUGUGGGAAGGCUCAGACAGCCAGGAUGUUGGCUUAGAAGCAGCCAUCAUUUAAAGAAAGCGUAAUAGCUCACUGGUCGAGUCGGCCUGCGCGGAAGAUGUAACGGGGCUAAGUAGUAAACCGAAGCUGCGGCAAUGUGCUUUUGCACAUUGGGUAGGGGAGCGUUUCUGUAAGCGGUUGAAGGUGUGUGGUAACGCAUGCUGGACGUAUCAGAAGUGCGAAUGCUGACAUGAGUAACGAUAAAGGGGGUGAAAAACCUCCUCGCCGGAAGACCAAGGGUUCCUGUCCAACGUUAAUCGGGGCAGGGUAAGUCGACCCCUAAGGCGAGGCCGAAAGGCGUAGUCGAUGGGAAACGGGUUAAUAUUCCCGUACUUCUUACAAUUGCGAUGGGGGGACGGAGAAGGCUAGGUGGGCCUGGCGACGGUUGUCCAGGUUCAAGUGCGUAGGCUUAAGAGUUAGGUAAAUCCGGCUCUUUUUAAGGCUGAGACACGACGUCGAGCACCUACGGGUGUGAAGUUAUUGAUGCCAUGCUUCCAGGAAAAGCCUCUAAGCUUCAGAUUGUAAGGAAUCGUACCCCAAACCGACACAGGUGGUCGGGUAGAGAAUACCAAGGCGCUUGAGAGAACUCGGGUGAAGGAAACUAGGCAAAAUGGUACCGUAACUUCGGGAGAAGGUACGCUCUUGAUGGUGAAGUCCCUUGCGGAUGGAGCUGACGAGAGUCGCAGAUACCAGGUGGCUGCAACUGUUUAUUAAAAACACAGCACUGUGCAAAAUCGUAAGAUGACGUAUACGGUGUGACGCCUGCCCGGUGCCGGAAGGUUAAUUGAUGGGGUUAGACUUCGGUCGAAGCUCUUGAUCGAAGCCCCGGUAAACGGCGGCCGUAACUAUAACGGUCCUAAGGUAGCGAAAUUCCUUGUCGGGUAAGUUCCGACCUGCACGAAUGGCGUAAUGAUGGCCACGCUGUCUCCACCCGAGACUCAGUGAAAUUGAAAUCGCUGUGAAGAUGCAGUGUACCCGCGGCUAGACGGAAAGACCCCGUGAACCUUUACUACAGCUUGGCACUGAACAUUGACCCUACAUGUGUAGGAUAGGUGGGAGGCUUUGAAGCACGUACGCCAGUAUGUGUGGAGCCGUCCUUGAAAUACCACCCUUGUAGUGUUGAUGUUCUAACGUCGACCCCUUAUCGGGGUUGCGGACAGUGCCUGGUGGGUAGUUUGACUGGGGCGGUCUCCUCCCAAAGAGUAACGGAGGAGCACGAAGGUGGGCUAAUCACGGUUGGACAUCGUGAGGUUAGUGCAAUGGCAUAAGCCCGCUUGACUGCGAGAAUGACAAUUCGAGCAGGUGCGAAAGCAGGUCAUAGUGAUCCGGUGGUUCUGAAUGGAAGGGCCAUCGCUCAACGGAUAAAAGGUACUCCGGGGAUAACAGGCUGAUACCGCCCAAGAGUUCAUAUCGACGGCGGUGUUUGGCACCUCGAUGUCGGCUCAUCACAUCCUGGGGCUGAAGUCGGUCCCAAGGGUAUGGCUGUUCGCCAUUUAAAGUGGUACGCGAGCUGGGUUUAGAACGUCGUGAGACAGUUCGGUCCCUAUCUGCCGUGGGCGUUGGAAGAUUGAAGGGGGCUGCUCCUAGUACGAGAGGACCGGAGUGGACGAACCUCUGGUGUUCGGGUUGUGUCGCCAGACGCAUUGCCCGGUAGCUAAGUUCGGAAUCGAUAACCGCUGAAAGCAUCUAAGCGGGAAGCGAGCCCUGAGAUGAGUCUUCCCUGAUACUUUAAGUAUCCUAAAGGGUUGUCGGAGACUACGACGUUGAUAGGUCAGGUGUGUAAGUGCUGUGAGGCAUUGAGCUAACUGAUACUAAUUGCCCGUGAGGCUUAACCAU